rnacentral:lncRNA from 1 species
AGCCCACCCGUUUUUUGGCCAUUUUUCCGCUGGGGGGUCUUGGGACCCCGACCUUCGGGGGCUGAUUUUUGGGCGCGGCUGUGCCCGUGGCCUAUUUUUCGCACACAGAGGCCGCCCGCCAAGUAUGGUGCCAUUCCGAGUCCCGCGGACGAACUUCGCCCACACCCCCCACCAAGGCUAUAGCCCACCCGUUUUUUGGCCAUUUUUCCGCUGGGGGGUCUUGGGACCCCGACCUUCGGGGGAUGAUUUUUGGGCGCGGCUGUGCCCGUGGCCUAUUUUUGGCACACGGAGGCCGCCCGCCAAGUCAGGGGCCAUUCCGAGUCCCGCGGACGAACUUCGCCCACGCCGCCCACCAAGGCUAUAGCCCACCCGUUUUUUGGCCAUUUUUCCGCUGGGGGAUCUUGGGACCCCGACCUUCGGGGGCUGAUUUUUGGGCGCGGCUGUGCCCGUGGCCUAUUUUUGGCACACAGAGGCCGCCCGCCAAGUAUGGUGCCAUUCCGAGUCCCGCGGAUGAACUUCGCCCACGCCGCCCACCAAGGCUAUAGCCCACCCGUUUUUUGGCCAUUUUUCCGCUGGGGGGUCUUGGGACCCCGACCUUCGGGUGCUGAUUUUAGGGCGCGGCUGUGCCCGUGGCCUAUUUUUGGCACACAGAGGCCGCCCGCCAAGUAUGGUGCCAUUCCGAGUCCCGCGGACGAACUUCGCCCACGCCGCCCACCAAGGCUAUAGCCCACCCGUUUUUUGGCCAUUUUUCCGCUGGGGGGUCUUGGGACCCCGACCUUCGGGUGCUGAUUUUUGGGCGCGGCUGUGCCCGUGGCCUAUUUUUUGGCACACAGAGGGCCGCCCGCCAAGUCAGGGUGCCAUUCCGAGUCCCGCGGACGAAGUUCGCCCACGCCCCCCACCAAGGCUAUAGCCCACCCGUUUUUUGGCCAUUUUUCCGCUGGGGGGUCUUGGGACCCCGACCUUCGGGGGCUGAUUUUUGGGCGCGGCUGUGCCCGUGGCCUAUUUUUGGCACACGGAGGCCGCCCGCCAAGUCAGGGGCCAUUCCGAGUCCCGCGGACGAAGUUCGCCCACGCCCCCCACCAAGGCUAUAGCCCACCCGUUUUUUGGCCAUUUUUCCGCUGGGGGGUCUUGGGACCCCAACCUUCGGGGGCUGAUUUUUGAGCGCGGCUGUGCCCGUGGCCUAUUUUUGGCACACGGAGGCCGCCCGCCAAGACAGGGGCCAUUCCGAGUCCCGCGGACGAACUUCGCCCACGCCGCCCACCAAGGCUAUAGCCCACCCGUUUUUUGGCCAUUUUUCCGCUUGGGGGUCUUGGGACCCCGACCUUCGGGGGCUGAUUUUUGAGCGCGGCUGUGCCCGUGGCCUAUUUUUGGUACACGGAGGCCGCCCGCCAAGUCUGGUGCCAUUCCGAGUCCCGCGGACGAACUUCGCCCACGCCGCCCACCAAGGCUAUAGCCCACCCGUUUUUUGACCAUUUUUCCGCUGGGGGGUCUUGGGACCCCGACCUUCGGGGGCUGAUUUUUGGGCGCGGCUGUGCCCGUGGCCUAUUUUUGGCACACAGAGGCCGCCCGCCAAGUAUGGUGCCAUUCCGAGUCCCGCGGACGAACUUCGCCCACGCCCCCCACCAAGGCUAUAGCCCACCCGUUUUUUGGCCAUUUUUCCGCUGGGGGGUCUUGGGACCCCGACCUUCGGGGGCUGAUUUUUGGGCGCGGCUGUGCCCGUGGCCUAUUUUUGGCACACAGAGGCCGCCCGCCAAGUAUGGUGCCAUUCCGAGUCCCGCGGACGAACUUCGCCCACGCCGCCCACCAAGGCUAUAGCCCACCCGUUUUUUGGCCAUUUUUCCGCUGGGGGGUCUUGGGACCCCGACCUUCGGGGGCUGAUUUUUGGGCGCGGCUGUGCCCGUGGCCUAUUUUUGGCACACGGAGGCCGCCCGCCAAGUCAGGGGCCAUUCCGAGUCCCGCGGACGAAGUUCGCCCACGCCCCACACCAAGGCCAUAGCCCACCCGUUUUUUGGCCAUUUUUCCGCUGGGGGGUCUUGGGACCCCGACCUUCGGGGGCUGAUUUUUGGGCGCGGCUGUACCCGUGGCCCAGUUUUGGCACACGGAGGCCGCCCGCCAAGUCAGGGGCCAUUCCGAGUCCCGCGGAUGAAGUUCGCCCACGCCCCCCACCAAGGCUAUAGCCCACCCGUUUUUUGGCCAUUUUUCCACUGGGGGGUCUUGGGACCCCGACCUUCGGGGGCUGAUUUUUGUACGCGGCUGUGCCCGUGGCCUAUUUUUGGCACACAGAGGCCGCCCGCCAAGUAUGGUGCCAUUCCGAGUCCCGCGGACGAACUUCGCCCACGCCCCCCACCAAGGAUAUAGCCCACCCGUUUUUUGGCCAUUUUUCCGCUGGGGGGUCUUGGGACCCCGACCUUCAGGGGCUGAUUUUUGGGCGCGGCUGUGCCCGUGGCCUAUUUUUGGCACACGGAGGCCGCCCGCCAAGUCAGGGGCCAUUCCGAGUCCCGCGGACGAAGUUCGCCCACGCCCCCCACCAAGGCUAUAGCCAACCCGUUUUUUGGCCAUUUUUCCGCUGGGGGGUCUUGGGACCCCGACCUUCGGGGGCUGAUUUUUGGGCGCGGCUGUGCCCGUGGCCUAUUUUUGGCACACAGAGGCCGCCCGCCAAGUAUGGUGCCAUUCCGAGUCCCGCGGACGAACUUCGCCCACGCCGCCCACCAAGGCUAUAGCCCACCCGUUUUUUGGCCAUUUUUCCGCUGGGGGGUCAUGGGACCCCGACCUUCGGGGGCUGAUUUUUGGGCGCGGCUGUGCCCGUGGCCUAUUUUUGGCACACAGAGGCCGCCCGCCAAGUAUGGUGCCAUUCCGAGUCCCGCGGACGAACUUCGCCCACGCCCCCCACCAAGGCUAUAGCCCACCCGUUUUUUGGCCAUUUUUCCGCUGGGGGGUCUUGGGACCCCGACCUUCGGGGGCUGAUAUUUGGGCGCGGCUGUGCCCGUGGCCCAGUUUUGGCACACGGAGGCCGCCCGCCAAGUCGGGGGCCAUUCCGAGUCCCGCGGAUGAAGUUCGCCCACGCCCCCCACCAAGGCUAUAGCCCACCCGUUUUUUGGCCAUUUUUCCGCUGGGUGGUCUUGGGACCCCGACCUUCGGGGGCUGAUUUUUGGGCGCGGCUGUGCCCGUGGCCUAUUUUUGGCACACAGAGGCCGCCCGCCAAGUAUGGUGCCAUUCCGAGUCCCGCGGACGAACUUCGCCCACGCCGCCCACCAAUUCUAUAGCCCACCCGUUUUUUGGCCAUUUUUCCGCUGGGGGGUCUUGGGACCCCGACCUUCGGGGGCUGAUUUUUGGGCGCGGCUGUGCCCGUGGCCUAUUUUUGGCACACGGAGGCCGCCCGCCAAGUCAGGGGCCAUUCCGAGUCCCGCGGACGAAGUUCGCCCACGCCGUCCACCAAGGCUAUAGCCCACCCGUUUUUUGGCCAUUUUUCCACUGGGGGGUCUUGGGACACCGACUUUCGGGUGCUGAUUUUUGGGCGCGGCUGUGCCCGUGGCCUAUUUUUGGCACACAGAGGCCGCCCACCAAGUAUGGUGCCAUUCCGAGUCCCGCGGACGAACUUCGCCCACGCCCCCCACCAAGGCUAUAGCCCACCCGUUUUUUGGCCAUUUUUCCGCUGGGGGGUCUUGGGACCCCGACCUUCGGGGGCUGAUUUUUGGGCGCGGCUGUGCCCGUGGCCUAUUUUUGGCACACGGAGGCCGCCCGCCAAGUCAGGGGCCAUUCCGAGUCCCGCGGACGAACUUCGCCCACGCCGCCCACCAAGGCUAUAGCCCACCCGUUUUUUGGCCAUUUUUCCGCUGGGGGGUCUUGGGACCCCGACCUUCGGGGGCUGAUUUUUGGGCGCGGCUGUGCCCGUGGCCUAUUUUUGGCACACAGAGGCCGCCCGCCAAGUACGGUGCCAUUCCGAGUCCCGCGGACGAACUUCGCCCACGCCGCCCACCAAGGCUGUAGCCCACCCGUUUUUUGGCCAUUUUUCCGCUGGGGGGUCUUGGGACCCCGACCUUCGGGGGCUGAUUUUUGGGCGCGGCUGUGCCCGUGGCCUAUUUUUGGCACACGGAGGCCGCCCGCCAAGUCAGGGGCCAUUCCGACUCCCGCGGACGAAGUUCGCCCACGCCCCCCACCAAGGCUAUAGCCCACCCGUUUUUGGCCAUUUUUCCGCUGGGGGGUCUUGGGACCCCGACCUUCGGGGGCUGAUUUUUGGGCGCGGCUGUGCCCGUGGCCUAUUUUUAGCACACAGAGGCCGCCCGCCAAGUAUGGUGCCAUUCCGAGUCCCGCGGACGAACUUCGCCCACGCCCCCCACCAAGGCUAUAGCCCACCCGUUUUUUGGCCAUUUCUCCGCUGGUGGGUCUUGGGACCCCGACCUUCGGGGGCUGAUUUUUGGGCGCGGCUGUGCCCGUGGCCUAUUUUUGGCACACGGAGGCCGCCCGCCAAGUCAGGGGCCAUUCCGAGUCCCGCGGACGAAGUUCGCCCACGCCCCCCACCAAGGCUAUAGCCCACCCGUUUUUUGGCCAUUUUUCCACUGGGGGGUCUUGGGACCCCGACCUUCGGGGGCUGAUUUUUGGGCGCGGCUGUGCCCGUGGCCUAUUUUUGGCACACAGAGGCCGCCCGCCAAGUAUGGUGCCAUUCCGAGUCCCGCGGACGAACUUCGCCCACACCCCCAACAAGGCUAUAGCCCACCCGUUUUUUGGCCAUUUUUCCGCUGGUGGGUCUUGGGACCCCGACCUUCGGGGGCUGAUUUUUGGGCGCGGCUGUGCCCGUGCCCUAUUUUUGGCACACGGAGGCCGCCCGCCAAGUCAGGGGCCAUUCCGAGUCCCGCGGACGAAGUUCGCCCACGCCCCCCACCAAGGCUAUAGCCCACCCGUUUUUUGGCCAUUUUUCCACUGGGGGGUCUUGGGACCCCGACCUUCGGGGGCUGAUUUUUGUGCGCGGCUGUGCCCGUGGCCUAUUUUUGGCACACAGAGGCCGCCCGCCAAGUAUGGUGCCAUUCCGAGUCCCGCGGACGAACUUCGCCCACGCCCCCCACCAAGGCUAUAGCCCACCCGUUUUUUGGCCAUUUUUUCGCUGGGGGGUCUUGGGACCCCGACCUUCGGGGGCUGAUUUUUGGGCGCGGCUGUGCCCGUGGCCUAUUUUUGGUACCCGGAGGCCGCCCGCCAAGUCAGGGGCCAUUCCGAGUCCCGCGGACGAAGUUCGCCCACGCCCCCCACCAAGGCUAUAGCCCACCCGUUUUUUGGCCAUUUUUCCGCUGGGGGGUCUUGGGACCUCGACCUUCGGGGGCUGAUUUUUGGGCGCGGCUGUGCCCGUGUCCUAUUUUUGGCACACGGAGGCCGCCCGCCAAGUCAGGUGCCAUUCCGAGUCCCGCGGACGAAGUUUGCCCACGCCCCCCACCAAGGCUAUAGCCCACCCGUUUUUUGGCCAUUUUUCCGCUGGGGGGUCUUGGGACCCCGACCUUCGGGGGCUGAUUUUUGGGCGCGGCUGUGCCCGUGGCCUAUUUUUGGCACACAGAGGCCGCCCGCCAAGUAUGGUGCCAUUCCGAGUCCCGCGGACGAACUUCGCCCACGCCGCCCACCAAGGCUAUAGCCCACCCGUUUUUUGACCAUUUUUCCGCUGGGGGGUCUUGGGACCCCGACCUUCGGGGGCUGAUUUUUGGGCGCGGCUGUGCCCGUGGCCUAUUUUUGGUACCCGGAGGCCGCCCGCCAAGUCAGGGGCCAUUCCGAGUCCCGCGGACGAAGUUCGCCCUCUCCCCCCACCAAGGCUAUAGCCCACCCGUUUUUUGGCCAUUUUUCCGCUGGGGGGUCUUGGGACCUCGACCUUCGGGGGCUGAUUUUUGGGCGCGGCUGUGCCCGUGUCCUAUUUUUGGCACACGGAGGCCGCCCGCCAAGUCAGGGGCCAUUCCGAGUCCCGCGGACGAAGUUCGCCCACGCCCCCCACCAAGGCUAUAGCCCACCCGUUUUUUGGCCAUUUUUCCGCUGGGGGGUCUUGGGACCCCGACCUUCGGGGGCUGAUUUUUGGGCGCGGCUGUGCCCGUGGCCUAUUUUUGGCACACAGAGGCCGCCCGCCAAGUAUGGUGCCAUUCCGAGUCCCGCGGACGAACUUCGCCCACGCCGCCCACCAAGGCUAUAGCCCACCCGUUUUUUGACCAUUUUUCCGCUGGGGGGUCUUGGGACCCCGACCUUCGGGGGCUGAUUUUUGGGCGCGGCUGUGCCCGUGGCCAAUUUUUGGUACCCGGAGGCCGUCCGCCAAGUCAGGGGCCAUUCCGAGUCCCGCGGACGAAGUUCGCCCACGCCCCCCACCAAGGCUAUAGCCCACCCGUUUUUUGGCCAUUUUUCCGCUGGGGGGUCUUGGGACCCCGACCUUUGGGGGCUGAUUUUUGGGCGCGGCUGUGCCCGUGGCCUAUUUUUGGCACACGGAGGCCGCCCGCCAAGUCAGGGGCCAUUCCGAGUCCCGCGGACGAAGUUCGCCCACGCCCCCCACCAAGGCUAUAGCCCACCCGUUUUUUGGCCAUUUUUCCGCUGGGGGGUCUUGGGACCCCGACCUUCGGGGUCUGAUUUUUGGGCGCGGCUGUGCCCGUGGCCUAUUUUUGGCACACGGAGACCACCCGCCAAGUAUGGUGCCAUUCCGAGUCCCGCGGACGAACUUCGCCCACGCCCCCCACCAAGGCUAUAGCCCACCCGUUUUUUGGCCAUUUUUCCGCUGGGGGGUCUUGGGACCCCGACCUUCGGGGGCUGAUUUUUGGGCGCGGCUGUGCCCGUGGCCUAUUUUUGGCACACGGAGGCCGCCCGCCAAGUAUGGUGCCAUUCCGAGUCCCGCGGACGAACUUCGCCCACGCCGCCCACCAAGGCUAUAGCCCACCCGUUUUUUGGCCAUUUUUCCGCUGGGGGGUCUUGGGACCCCGACCUUCGGGGGCUGAUUUUUGGGCGCGGCUGUGCCCGUGGCCUAUUAUUGGCACACGGAGGCCGCCCGCCAAGUCAGGGACCAUUCCGAGUCCCGCGGACGAAGUUCGCCCACGCCCCCCACCAAGGCUAUAGCCCACCCGUUUUUUGGACAUUUUUCCGCUGGGGGGUCUUGGGACCCCGACCUUCGGGGGCUAAUUUUUGGGCGCGGCUGUGCCCGUGGCCUAUUUUUGGCACACAUAGGCCGCCCGCCAAGUAUGGUGCCAUUCCUAGUCCCGCGGACAAACUUCUCCCACACCACCCACCAAGGCUAUAGCCCACCCGUUUUUGGCCAUUUUUCCGCUGGGGGGUCUUGGGAGCCCGACCUUCGGGGGCUGAUUUUUGGGCGCGGCUGUGCCCGUGGCCUAUUUUUGGCACACGGAGGCCGCCCGCCAAGUCAGGGG